UACAGAGGGGGCAAGCGUUAUUCGGAAUUAUUGGGCGUAAAGGGCGCGUAGGCGGCUUUUCAAGUGACGGGUGAAAUCCCUCGGCUUAACCGAGGAACUGCCUGUCAGACUGGAAGGCUUGAGACCGGGAGAGGUGAGUGGAAUUCCCAGUGUAGCGGUGAAAUGCGUAGAUAUUGGGAGGAACACCAGUGGCGAAGGCGGCUCACUGGACCGGAACUGACGCUGAGGCGCGACAGCGUGGGGAGCAAACAGG
rnacentral:rRNA from 1 species